rnacentral:lncRNA from 1 species
ACCAGGCCUCAGAGGGACAACCCCCACCCAACGUGUUCCCAGGUUUGCUUACAAUUAAUUGCCUUCCUCCAUGGGAAUUUCUCUGGGCACAUCCCUUUUGCAUCAUGGCCUUGUGGAAUCAGUCCUGCUGUACCAGUGCAAGUAUCAUCACAUUGUAGAGAACUGCCCAAAGCUAUGCAGCUGGAAAGACACGAAUGCAUUUGCUUCAGCAAAAGAGACAUGUAUCUUAGAAACCUAUCAAAAAUAUUUGAAUACAGCUACCUCGGCAAUCUCUGCUCUACGGGCUCCUCCCCCCACCUUUCUUUUAACCUUUGCCUGAGAAGAAUUUAAAUGGCAUAUUUAGUGGCUGUAUAUUGUGCUUCCUGUACCCACUGCUGCAUAAAAGGGAUUGAUUUAAAUCGCUUACAGUAACCAUGUGGGGGAGGAGGGUCUAGUUUUCUGCACCAAAUGCUCCAGGAUGCAUAAUAAGCAACCACAAAUACAGACAACAAAUGAGUGUGCUUGCAUUUGUCUCUUCUCUGGUAAAGAAUUAUUCUUUAGUACGGAUGGACUGCACACUUUUAGCAUCAACAAGAGAGCAGCUCAGAUGUGCGAGCACCAAUAAAGGAUACUUAAGCCUCCGUCCCCCAGGUAAUGAGUCUCAGAAAUGUUGGCUAAAAAAGUCAGAGAAUGUUCCUAUUUAUAAUUUUUUUGAAUCAUGAAAUUUAUAACACCUCCCAAAGCAGGAACGGACCAAGUUUAAAGAUUACAGCUGAGUGCCAGUAAAGCGUUAAAGGCAACCAUUGUUAAUAACAAUCGGCUGAAAAGCAAGACACAGCUCAUGCUUUGGAGCCGUACUAAGAGAUUCGGCAUCUCUAAAAUCGCUAGAGCCUUUGACAAGCCAGGCAUAAAUCAGGAGGGAUUUAAAUUCCUGAUUUUCUGGCAUUUUUUAAGCUAUAAAUCCUACACAUUCCUAAAACCACAUGGUCCCAUAACUGGAGCUGAGGGCUAGAGUAGGUCCCUGGAACAGUUCAAAGGGUCAAACUGGAAUUAGGAGCUCCUGCUUCUCUCUAGGCCUUAAGGCAAUUUUUUCUGAAGGACAUUUAAAGAUUUUUUUUUUAAAGUCUUCUGAAAUGAGGCCAAGAGGGUGUUACAUUUAUCCCAACAAUCUACCAGGGCUUUCUCGUCUUUGGAUGUAACCAUGUUGGGAUUUUUCUAGAUCUUAUUAAUCCAUGUCUAUAUACUCAAGAUGGUUUGGAUAGUCAGAGGUCAGAAAACAAUUAAAGGAGGGAGACUAAAUGGUCUAUAAAUGAAUGUGAUCUAUUCAGGGUUUCUUAAAAUGAGCUUAAGGACCAUUUGCCUUCCUGGAGAGAGAUGUGGAUGGAAGAGGUGUCCUGCUCCAAUCCAUGACUUUAGCAUGAGGAAAGCAUUCAGGAUGAAUGAAAGAAAGAACAGAGCAGAAUCAGGAUGCCUGGGUAAGAGACAAUAAGUCAAAAUAAGAUGAAAUGAGAACCCAAACUACAGAGUGGCAGCGAAAAUGCAGAGUGAAUGUGGAAAACUUGAUGAAGGUAAAAUCUGAAGAUCUUGGCACCUAAUUGGAUUCGCAUGAGGAGAACCAGAGAAGGGAGAGUCACUCAUGUCCGGGAGGAAAGAGCACAGCAUUUGUAACCUAGAAACCUGGACUGAAGGUCUUUAUUCUGCCAUUUACUAGUUUUGUAAACUCUGGGAAGCCAUUCACCUCUGAGUCUCAUUUUUAUCGGUUGCAAAACAAGGCUGGAAAUACCUACAAAAUAAAUGAGAAAAUGUAUUAAAUGUCUGAAAGAUGAUGAAAUGGAUCAUUAUUUAAUAAUAGUCACAUUAAUACUUAUGACUUUGAAGUCAUUUCUCUUUCUUGUGCCUCAGUUUCUUCAUUUGUAAAAGGCAGACCAAAGUGAACCCUACAGGCCCUUCUGGCUCUAACAUGUUUUCUAUCUACCUGGAGGUGAUCAGUUUGGUUUGUACUUAGUGAGUGUGGG